AUAUAUGUAUAUAUGUGUAUAUAUAUAUAUGUAUAUAUAUGUAUAUAUAUAUAUACAUACAUGUAUAUGAAACAUUUGAGCAUCCCCCAUCCAGUAAGAAAAUCUUGCCAAAGCAUCUGUUCCCUUAGCUCCCCUUAGACCUCUGUUGAUGACUUACUGGUCAGGUGUGGACUCUGUUGAUGACUUACUGGUCAGGUGUGGACUCUGUUGAUAGCUUUUAAAGUUUUUUUUUUUUUUUUUAAAGUAACCAACCCAUGAAAAGUGCUUCAGUUUGUACAUUCAUGAAAACUUCAAAAGUUUCAUAGAAAUUAAGGCAAACGAUUUCGCUUUAUCAAAGUCCUGCAUUUCAAACACAGAUAUCUAUAUUAUUUGCACAAAAUAUAUAGGCACAAAAGAUUGUUGUAACGGGAGGGGGGGGGGGCUUUUCUUUUAGUUCCGUCACUGCACGAUAUAGAUGACUCAUCCAACUUUUGUUGUCGCACUCUAGAGAAGGCAUUUGUUGGCCACCAUUGAGAGAGCUAAUGCUUGUAUUUUUGUAUUCUUGUGGUUUUCUUCAUCGAAUGUCCAUUGUGCCAUCACCGUGUUAACAUACCUGUUAAAAAUUGUUUGAUCCAUUUGUAUUUCUUCAACACAAUUAAAAUGUAAUGCUAUUUU